rnacentral:rRNA from 1 species
UAGGGAAUCUUCCGCAGUGGGCGAAAGCCUGACGGAGCAACGCCGCGUGAGUGAUGAAGGUCUUCGGAUCGUAAAACUCUGUUAUUAGGGAAGAACAAAUGUGUAAGUAACUAUGCACGUCUUGACGGUACCUAAUCAGAAAGCCACGGCUAACUACGUGCCAGCAGCCGCGGUAAUACGUAGGUGGCAAGCGUUAUCCGGAAUUAUUGGGCGUAAAGCGCGCGUAGGCGGUUUUUUAAGUCUGAUGUGAAAGCCCACGGCUCAACCGUGGAGGGUCAUUGGAAACUGGAAAACUUGAGUGCAGAAGAGGAAAGUGGAAUUCCAUGUGUAGCGGUGAAAUGCGCAGAGAUAUGGAGGAACACCAGUGGCGAAGGCGACUUUCUGGUCUGUAACUGACGCUGAUGUGCGAAAGCGUGGGGAUCAAACAGG